GUGUUCAGUGGUUCUGGAUGACCCGGGGGAUUAUUAGGUUCUUCUUAUGGAAUUUUCUAUAGUUAAAAGAUGAACCCGGAAUUCUGACUGUUUGGUGUGGACAUGGGAGCUCAUCUGUAAGAUUUUGCAGGUGUGAGGCCUGCCAAGUUUUCAAUAUCAUGCAGUUUCCUGAAAGGAUAUAAGCAGCAUCAGCCUUUCUUCAGAUGGUGAAGAAAAAACCCUAUUAUUCUAUCAGUGACCUUUGGCAAGAAACUGCUCUCUUGAACUGUUCAUGUCUCUGGAGUGUUUGACUAAGGUUUCUUCUGGUCAGGUCAUCGACAAUCCAAAUGUCAGACAACAAUGUGGCCAUUUUUCAUCUUGAGUUCUGGAGGCAGAAGGCGGAUGCAGGUUUCACUGGCUUAAAACCGAGGAAUUGGCAGAGGAACAUUCCUUUCUAGAGGCCUUAGGGGAGGACAUGGUUGCUGGUAUUUCCAGUGUCUAGAAGCUCUUGUGCUAAAAGACGUUGCUGAAUCCUGUUCCCUGAAAGUAAUGGGUCAUGGGCUGGAUGAUAAAAAGAAAAGAAGAGCUCUACUUCAGGAGUCUUUUAUUUUAACGACCACUGUGGUAGACAGCCUUUAAGAUGACUCCAGUGAUUCCAAUUUCUCGAGUGUGAGCUGGACCUAAUGACUUGCUUCCAGCAGACAGAAUAUGGCAAAGAUAAUGAAAUUUUGGUUCUGAGGUGAGGCCACAAAAAGGCUCUGGGUUCCAUCGCGCUUGCCUGCAUGCAUUUGCUCUGAUGAAAAUCAGCCGCCAUGUUUUGAGCUGCUUUAUGGACAGGCCACGUGGCAAGGAACUGAGGUAGGCUCCCGGGUAAGAGCCAGAGAAUGGAAACCCAGGCCCUCAAUGCAACAACCUCAGAAGAACCUAGUCCUGUCAACAACCACUUGAGUGCCCUUGGAAGGGGAUCUUUUCUGGGUCAUGCCUUGAGCCAGCUGUCAUCCUUGAGACUGAGGCAUCUGGAAAAGCUGUGCCUGGAUUUCUGAUUCACAAAAACUGUGGGAAAAUCAAUGCUUAUUGGGAUAAUUUGUGUCAUAACAAUAGAUAACUAUUACAACAGUGAAAUGGCAUUACAGAAAGUUUGGAAAAGGGAGAGGUGGAAAGUCGUCCAUAAUUCUACCACUCAAUCCAACUGUGGCUUAAUUUUUGCAUGUUUUAUUUCAGUCUGCAUACGUUUAUAUUGCUGGGGAGCAUAAUGUGAAUAAAAUUUUCCAUAAUUUAGUUAACCUCCUCAUUCUCUUUAGGCAUUUCCAUUACUUCCUAUUUAAUUUGCAAUUAAAAAUAAUGUAACAACCAUCAUCUUUGUGGAUGUGGUUCUUUU